rnacentral:rRNA from 1 species
UACGGAGGGUGCAAACGUUGCUCGGAAUCAUUGGGCGUAAAGCGCACGUAGGCGGACUGUUAAGUCGGAUGUGAAAUCCCUCAGCUUAACUGAGGAAGUGCACUCGAAACUGGCAGUCUUGAGUAUGGAAGAGGGUCGCGGAAUUCCCGGUGUAGAGGUGAAAUUCGUAGAUAUCGGGAGGAACACCAGUGGCGAAGGCGGCGACCUGGGCCAAUACUGACGCUGAGGCGCGAAAGCGUGGGGAGCAAACGGG